rnacentral:rRNA from 1 species
GAUUUCUGGCUUGGUGCGCCUAGCCCGCCACGGUUACGUGUGUGAGUGCCGGGUCGCGCCUGCCAUCCUUCUAGAGAACGAUUCUACCCUUCACUGGGCCGGAGUCGCCAUCUAGAUCUUUUACUUUGAAAAAAUUAGAGUGUUUAAAGCAGGCUUUUGCUAUGAAUACAUUAGCAUGGAAUAAUAAUUUAGGACUUCGGUUCUAUUUUGUUGGUUUCUAGGACUGAAGUAAUGAUUGAUAGGGAUAGUUGGGGGUGCUAGUAUUCAGUGGCCAGAGGUGAAAUUCUCGGAUUCACUGAAGACUAACUUAUGCGAAAGCAUU